UUGGCCUUUCCUAGAAGCCAUCAAGUUUCUGUAAGUAACUGUCUAUGCUGAAUUUAGCAGGUCAGGUGGAGGGAGGGCGGGCUUCACACUCACAUUGCAGGUGUUUUAGGCUGAGGAGUUGGAGAUUUUACCUCUCCACCCUCUCGCUCUCCUUCCUUCAUUGCCAACAGAGCACAAUUUGAUUAGAUUAGUUUGAAAAUUCGGCUUCUGUCUAAUGGUUUACCAGCUGUUAAGGUGAACUAAGUGGUGUGACAGUAUUCUAGAUUUUAAAAAGAACAUCUUAAACAUAUUUACGUAUUAAACAACUCCUCCCACCUUUUGGCAUUAGAGGAAGCUAAUCUCCCACAAGGACAACUCUGAGAUAAGGAUGGCUUACUUACUCUAACAAAUGCCUCCCGGGCUUUGACGGCUAUUCUUUCGGUUUAAAAUCUUAAAAUAUGGAGGUUACACUAUUCUUUUCCCUGGGGAAAGGGAGCAGCUUCCCUAGAGGGCGAGGGGUGUGCUCAGUAGUUAUCAGUCCAGGCUCUCAUAAAUCUCUGCCAGCUUUUUCAUCCUUAGAAAGAGAAGCAUCAAUUAAGACGUGUGGGUUGUUCAGCCCCAUUGUAUUGCGGUUUUGAGGAAAACUACAUCCUCUCCUGGCUUGUUUUUAACCUUCACGAGGAACAAGGAUUGGUCCAGGACUGGGAAAUGGUGAUUCCACUCAUCAAAUAGAAGAGAGAAGAAACCUUAUUUAAAGAACGUCCUGCCUCUGAGGACUUUUAAGAAGCGAUCUUGCAACUCUGAAGGAAAUUCCUGGAAAGAGGCAGAGAUCACAAAGGCCAAUUGAGGGACCAGAACUCCGAUGACGUGCAACGUUUGGAAUGCUGUUAAAUUCAGAGUCCAGUUAUUUUGGGUUAUCUUUAGUUCCCUUAGAUGGUCAUCUAUUGCCCUACCCUCUGCCUGCCCCCAUCCCCGCCGUGAGCUGCUCCUCCGGACCCGCUAGCACCUCCUGCCGGACCCACCGGGCUCACACCUGCGGCUUGGGUGGCUCUCCUGGGAACCCGCGAGUCUCUCUGCCUUGGGACUGGCUGC